GCAGAAGCCCCAAGUUUGCCCAUCUGGGCAGAGGGAUCCUCCUCCUGUCACCACUGGGCUGAGAUAUCUCUGUAAUGGAUGCACUUGGCAGGAGUAAUCCUUUAUGAUACUCUAAAAGCAAUUAAAAGCACAGCAAAGGCAGAAGCAGCAGAACAAACCAGCCAUGAAAUGACCAUCCCCCAGCUCCCAGGCCUGCAGUCAGCCCACUGGAAAAGAUCAACACCCUGAAAAAUUUGAGACCAGAACCAGCAACCAGAAACAAGAAGCCUCUUGUGUUACAAUCCUAACUACAAAGUUAUGAUACUUUGCUUCAGACAGCACUUUCAUUUUAAAGCUGGCAUAGCAUUAGCAUGUAUUGAACACCCACUGCCAGAUUCAAUGGCUAAACCCAUGACAGGGGUAAAAAGCUUGUAGCUUGCAAUAUUUAUCUAGAAAUAAGGAGGAACUAGGAUGUGAGGUGAUACAGUCACCAUGUUCUAUCAAAGAACUAUUUAUCUCAGCCUUCCAUUGUAGAGAAUUUGCCCUAAUGUUUUUAUUUUCACUUGUGACUAUAAUAGAUUAUAUGAAAGUUGAGUCUUCCGCCAAAGAGCUCAAAGCAUACCUGGGAGAGAUUCUUGUACUCAUCAAUUCUAGUUCUUUUCACUUCUGCCAUUUAAAAUAUGUGUGUGCUUCAGAAAUGCCUAGAUGGCAAUGAAAAAGAAUAAAGCCCUCUGUUCCA